CCUACGGGAGGCAGCAGUGGGGAAUAUUGGACAAUGGGGGGAACCCUGAUCCAGCGACGCCGCGUGAGUGAAGAAGUAUUUCGGUAUGUAAAGCUCUAUCAGCAGGGAAGAAAGAAAUGACGGUACCUGACUAAGAAGCCCCGGCUAACUACGUGCCAGCAGCCGCGGUAAUACGUAGGGGGCAAGCGUUAUCCGGAUUUACUGGGUGUAAAGGGAGCGUAGACGGCGAUGCAAGUCUGAAGUGAAAGGCGGGGGCCCAACCCCUGGACUGCUUUGGAAACUGUAUGGCUGGAGUGCAGGGGAGGUAAGUGGAAUUCCUAGUGUAGCGGUGAAAUGCGUAGAUAUUAGGAGGAACACCAGUGGCGAAGGCGGCUUACUGGACUGUAACUGACGUUGAGGCUCGAAAGCGUGGGGAGCAACCAGGAUUAGAUACCCUUGUAGUC
rnacentral:rRNA from 1 species